rnacentral:rRNA from 1 species
CCUACGGGGGACAGCAGUGGGGGAUAUUGCACAAUGGGGGAAACCCUGAUGCAGCGACGCCGCGUGGGUGAAGAAGUAUUUCGGUAUGUAAAGCCCUAUCAGCAGGGAAGAAAGACGACGGUACCUGACUAAGAAGCCCCGGCUAACUACGUGCCAACAGCCGCGGUAAUACGUAGGGGGCGAGCGUUAUCCGGAUUCACUGGGUGUAAAGGGAGCGUAGACGGCCGUGCAAGCCAGGAGUGAAAGCCCGGGGCCCAACCCCGGGACUGCUCUUGGAACUGUGCGGCUGGAGUGCGGGAGGGGCAGGCGGAAUUCCUGGUGUAGCGGUGAAAUGCGUAGAUAUCAGGAGGAACACCGGCGGCGAAGGCGGCCUACUGGACCGCGACUGACGUUGAGGCUCGAAAGCGUGGGGAGCGAACAGGAUUAGAUACCCCAGUAGUC